rnacentral:rRNA from 1 species
AACAAACGCUGGCGGCGUGUCUUAAGCAUGCAAGUUGAGCGGCAAGGAGGAGAGAUCCUCCCUAGAGCGGCGGACUGGUGAGUAGCGCGUGGGUAAUCUAUCGUAGGCAUGGGGAUAGUCACUAGAAAUAGUGGGUAAUACCGAAUACGUUCCAUGAGGGGAGUAUUCAUGGAAGAAAGGGUGCUACGGCACUGGCCUUAGGUGAGCUCGCGUCCCAUUAGCUAGUUGGUGAGGUAAAGGCCCACCAAGGCGAUGAUGGGUAGCCGGCCUGAGAGGGUGUACGGCCACACUGGGACUGAGAUACGGCCCAGACUCCUACGGGAGGCAGCAGCUAAGAAUAUUCCGCAAUGGACGAAAGUCUGACGGAGCGACGCCGCGUGGAUGAAGAAGGCCGAAAGGUUGUAAAGUUCUUUUGCUAGGGGAGAAUAAGUGAGGGAGGGAAUGCCCUCAUGAUGACAAGGACUAGCGAAUAAGCCCCGGCCAACUACGUGCC